rnacentral:rRNA from 1 species
UACGGAGGGGGCUAGCGUUGUUCGGAAUUACUGGGCGUAAAGCGUACGUAGGCGGCUUUGUAAGUUAGAGGUGAAAGCCUGGAGCUCAACUCCAGAACUGCCUUUAAGACUGCAUCGCUUGAAUCCAGGAGAGGUGAGUGGAAUUCCGAGUGUAGAGGUGAAAUUCGUAGAUAUUCGGAAGAACACCAGUGGCGAAGGCGGCUCACUGGACUGGUAUUGACGCUGAGGUACGAAAGCGUGGGUAGCAAACAGG